rnacentral:misc_RNA from 1 species
UACGAGUGGCCCGAGCGUUAAUCGGAAUCACUGGGCUUAAAGGGUGCGCAGGCGGACUGGAAGGCGUCUUGUGAAAGCCCCCGGCUCAACCGGGGAAUUGCAGGGCGAACCGCCAGUCUUGAGGCAGGUAGGGGUCGACGGAACCAUCGGUGGAGCGGUGAAAUGCGUAGAUAUCGAUGGGAACGCCAAAGGCGAAGGCAGUCGACUGGGCCUGUCCUGACGCUCAGGCACGAAAGCGUGGGGAGCAAACAGG